rnacentral:snRNA from 2 species
AUUUCUUGGCCUUUGUCUAAAAUGAAUGUAAUAUCUGUUCUGGUUAGUCGAAUAUGUGAUAUGUCUUCUAGAGGACAUCAUAUUAAAUGGAUUUUUGAAAAUAGGAGAUGGAAAAGGAGAUAUCUCUGUCACAUAGUGACCUGGUACUGCAAUACUUCCAGGGAUGGUAUAGCCCUC